AUGGAGAGGAUUAAUCACCUUUGGUGCUGCAGGCGUUCAAGAGCUAGCAGGGCUGGGCCAACCGACCCUUUGUGUUUGAAGAUCCCUGACACCCCAUGCUACCAGUCGGGCAUCUUCUUCCUGAGCCAUGUACGGAACCAGACCAGUAGGGGCACCCUGAGCGAGUACUCGAGGCAUGUUGUCAGGUCGAAGGGGUACAACCAGGGCAGUUGCCGUGUGUGUCUAUGGUUCAUACAAUCAAGGUGUUCGCUCAUCUCCCAAGAUGAGCCAGAACGAGCAUGA
rnacentral:rRNA from 1 species